rnacentral:rRNA from 1 species
AUUGAACGCUGGCGGCAGGCCUAACACAUGCAAGUCGAGCGAGCGGCGGACGGGUGAGUAAUGUCUGGGAAACUGCCUGAUGGAGGGGGAUAACUACUGGAAACGGUAGCUAAUACCGCAUACCAUCAGAUGUGCCCAGAUGGGAUUAGCUAGUAGGUGGGGUAACGGCUCACCUAGGCGACGAUCCCUAGCUGGUCUGCGAGGAUGACCAGCCACACUGGAACUGAGACAAGGUCCAGACUCCUACGGGAGGCCGCAGUGGGGAAUAGUGCACAAGGGGCGCAAGCCUGAUGCAGCCAUGCAGCGUGUGUGAAGAAGGCCUUCGGUGUGUAAAGCACUUGUAGCGGGGAGGCGUUACUCGCAGAAGAAGCACCGGCUAACUCCGUGCCAGCAGCCGCGGUAAUAC